ACAUGCAAGUCGAACGGUAACAGGUCUUCGGAUGCUGACGAGUGGCGAACGGGUGAGUAAUACAUCGGAACGUGCCCGAGAGUGGGGGAUAACGAAGCGAAAGCUUUGCUAAUACCGCAUACGAUCUCAGGAUGAAAGCAGGGGACCGCAAGGCCUUGCGCUCACGGAGCGGCCGAUGGCAGAUUAGGUAGUUGGUGGGAUAAAAGCUUACCAAGCCGACGAUCUGUAGCUGGUCUGAGAGGACGACCAGCCACACUGGGACUGAGACACGGCCCAGACUCCUACGGGAGGCAGCAGUGGGGAAUUUUGGACAAUGGGCGCAAGCCUGAUCCAGCCAUGCCGCGUGCAGGAUGAAGGCCUUCGGGUUGUAAACUGCUUUUGUACGGAACGAAAAGACUCUGGUUAAUACCUGGGGUCCAUGACGGUACCGUAAGAAUAAGCACCGGCUAACUACGUGCCAGCAGCCGCGGUAAUACGUAGGGCGCGAGCGUUAAUCGGAAUUACUGGGCGUAAAGCGUGCGCAGGCGGUUAUGUAAGACAGAUGUGAAAUCCCCGGGCUCAACCUGGGAACUGCAUUUGUGACUGCAUAGCUAGAGUACGGCAGAGGGGGAUGGAAUUCCGCGUGUAGCAGUGAAAUGCGUAGAUAUGCGGAGGAACACCGAUGGCG
rnacentral:rRNA from 1 species